UUCCGGUUGAUCCUGCCGGACCCCACUGCUAUCGGGGUGGGACUAAAACAUGCAAGUCGAGCGCCUCCAAGCUAUGGUGAAGGCGCGGCAAACGGCUCAGUAACACGUGGCCAACCUACCCUUGGGACGGAGACAACCCCGGGAAACUGGGGCUAAUCCCCGAUAGGUAAGGAAUCCUGGAAUGGAUCUUUGCUGAAAGGGCGUCUAGACCAUGCUUCUUGACGUCGCCCAAGGAUGGAGCCGCGGCCGAUCAGGUAGUUGGCGAGGCAACGGCUCACCAAGCCUAUAACCGGUACGGGCCGUGAGAGCGGUAGCCCGGAGAUGGGCACUGAGACAAGGGCCCAGGCCCUACGGGGCGCAGCAGUUGCGAAAACUCCGCAAUGCGCGAAAGCGUGACGGGGCUACCCCGAGUGCCGCCCGUUGAGGGCGGCUUUUCCACGGUGUAAGGAGCCGUGGGAAUAAGGAGAGGGCAAGACUGGUGUCAGCCGCCGCGGUAAUACCAGCUCUCCGAGUGGUGGGGACGAUUAUUGGGCUUAAAGCGUUCGUAGCCGGCUUAACAAGUCUUCCGUUAAAUCCAACGAUCUAAUCGUUGGGCUGCGGGAGAUACUGUUGGGCUAGGAGGCGGGAGAAGCCGACGGUAUUCUCGGGGUAGGGGUGAAAUCCUGUAAUCUCGGGAGGACCACCAGUGGCGAAGGCGGUCGGCUAGAACGCGCUCGACGGUGAGGGACGAAAGCUGGGGGAGCGAACCGGAUUAGACACCCGGGUAGUCCCAGCUGUAAACGAUGCGGGCUAGUGUUGGGGUGGCCACGAGCCACUUCAGUGCCGCAUGGAAGCAAUUAAGCCCGCCGCCUGGGGAGUACGGCCGCAAGGCUGAACUUAAAGGAAUUGGCGGGGGAGCACACAGCGUGAAGCUUGCGUUUAAUUGGACUCAACGCGA
rnacentral:rRNA from 1 species